CUUUAGCCCCGAUUGCAGUGAAAAUCCUUGUAUGCCGGGUUUCGGCAUACAAGAUUGUAACGAAAAGCGGGAGCAAUG
rnacentral:sRNA from 1 species